GGAUUAUAAUUCACUCUAAAGGAUUGAUUACUUGACGACUAUGUGUAUAAUAUAAUGUUUAAUUGUUACAACAAGUGUUAAAACAAACUAACAAUAUUGUGUAAGCUACUUUCACUUAAAGUGGUACCUAACACUACAGGGAGAUAACUCUGUAAUAUCAGCUAAACGUUUUAAUUACGUUGCGUUGUGUAGGCAAUAUAAAGCUUCUCAAUGAUCAAAAUUAGUGUUUGUCAAACUGCUAUAUAAC
rnacentral:lncRNA from 1 species